ACUUCGCCCCAACUGCCACGCCGCCUGUACUCCCCAAGAUCGCCACAGUAUGCAUCGCCGCCGCCGCCGCCACCGUACUCACUGCCUCAUCUCGCUGUGGCCGCCGACCGCUCCACCGCCGGCCUGACCCUAGGCGAGGGCGCUCUUCGGCCGGCGACGCGUUGAGGCGCGCGGGACCUGCCGCCGCCGCUGCCGCUGGAGGCCCUCUACGCACGAGCCGCCGGCCCUGCACGACCACGCGCCUCCACUGCCCUACGCACGGCACCUGCCCCGACCCAACUCUCGACGCGAAGCCUCGGCUGCCAAGGGUGCUACUCUCGGGCAUGUGCCGCCGGAAACAAAUGCCCACGUAGGAGGUGCCGUCGCUGAGGACAUGGACGCAUGCAGGAGCGGCCGUCGAUUCACGUCCUUCGGUCGAUCCUUGUGCAUCGGAGCACGCCCGGCCCCUCCAGAUAUGUUGUACGCUGGUGCCUUCUCCCGGAAAGAAAUUAGCCCAAGUAAAGAAAAGACGUAGCAGGAUAGGCAAGUACAACAUACACAGGCAAUCACGUCCUCCAAUCAGUACGAUCGUGAUUCGUGAGGUAUGAGAUCGCAUCCUUAAUUCAGUACCCUAUUUGCCUCUCUAUUCCCCCGUCCCGAACUCCCGAUCACAAGUCGCAGGCCGCCGGCAGAUAAUAUUCUCGAGUAGAUGGAUGCAGCCACACAGAACUCGCAUGCACAUCGCCAGGCCAUGGCAAUUGACAGCGCCGAGCGCUUCCGGCCGUUAUCCACUUUCCCGGCCAUGGGCGUGCGAUAUGGACUGUAGGCGGAAACACGCACAUGGACAAGUGCCUCAUUGCUGAGCGUCUAAUCAAGGACGCCAAUGCGAUUGAGGAUAUCAACAGAGCAACCGGGAGGAGGAGGAGAGAGCAGCCAGAGAUAAGUUAAGAACAACACACAUGCUUCAGAUUAACUCCUAUUCCUGAACCAAUAUGUUUUUUUACUAUUCACUGAUAUGCUUUUGAUGAUUGAAUUAGAUAAAACAAGUAGGAGUGUAUAUUUAUUUUCAUUUAGGACUUUUACAUACCUCUUAGCCAAGCACCCGUACCAACACUGGGUUCGAGAAGUAAUUGUGCAAGACACACUAAAAUUGAUUUUGAUGCAAGUAUUUAUAUGGUCAUUUUUUUGUUCUUUGCUAGACGAAUGGGUAACAUAAAUAUUUUCUAUCGCAACUUCAACGUCAUUAAUAAAAUGUCAAUUUAAACAACAGGGAUUUUCUCAUCUGUAUAGUUCAUGUAUUCUUCUAGAGGCAUUUUAUAAAAUAAGUUUCCAUGUGAAACUUUUAUCCUUCUGAAGGCAUUUUAGAAAACAAGUUUUCAUGCCAUCCAUUAGAAGGCGUUUGCUUACAUAAGAAGAGGAAACUUUUAUCCUUCUGGAGGCAUUUUAGAAAACAAGUUUCCAUGCCAUCCAUUAGAAGGCGUUUGCUUACAUAAGAAGAACGAUAACAGCAUUAGCAUAUCUGUACUACUUUUUAUAAAAAAUAAGACACUCUGAACAAAUGUCUAAAUAUAUGCCAUCUAAUUGUAUGAUUUUGGCAUGUAAAUACAUUUUCCAUAUGUCUGACUAUAUUGUGUUUGCUGUGCAAAUAUGUUGAAGGUUGACCUCACUUUUGGGGACUGAGUUUUGUAAUGAUAUGUUAUCUUCACCCCAUAUCUUACUAUGUAUACAAUGCUGCAAUAUGUAUAGACUUGUCACCACUUUUACUGGACUGAUAUAUCAUAUUGUAUGUAGAAUCUUUCAAUACAUAUGUACUUGCAGGCUUGCAGCAACUACUAACUGGGGUUUUUUCUUCACCUACAAAAAUUCAUGGAAUCUUCCUCUAUAUUUUCAUGUUGGUACCUGAUUUACAGGUCUAUACUGUUGGGCUGUCCAAGCUACCACUGGAAGGCCUUACGAUGCAUCAGGGGCAUCUAAUAAAGUUUUCAAGUUUGUCCCUACUAUUAUUAUAUCCAGACAAGAUGUUUGCUUGCAGGACCACCAAAGCUGAACCUUCUAGGUAAUUUGCAUUGAGCAGUCCAACGAGUAGCAGGAUAAUCAGCGGCUCGGUGCCUACAAGUAUCCCAGAUUUGCAAUGAAUUUGAUGAAAAGAAUCCGGAGAAGGGAAGGAAACAGAGAGUGGAAGCAUAAUAUUGGGAGUAAGGGAGAUGCUGACAGGUACUUCCCAUCUUCCAUUCAUUUCUCUUGACUGGUAGUUGCGAUGAUAAUCAUGUAUUUGUCGUUAAUGAGAAGAUGUGAAGAGUAGUACAAAGUAUGUCUUGUGAUAUAGAAGAUGUGAAGAGUUAGAGCAUCAAACAAUGGAAUAGAGUCACGCAUGGAGCAAGCCAAUCAUAUAGGCAUAGACCUGUUUCAAGUUUUUCGAUGUAUAUUGAAAAUUAUGUAAGUCAUUUGAAAUAUUAAUAUAAAGAGUUUGUUAUUGAUGUUUGUUGUUUUGUGAAUGUAUUCCCGUAAAGAAAAAUAUGUUUUAAUAUAUUUGAAUGGUGUCAUCUUCGAAUAAGAUCUCUAUAAGUCUAUAGUAGCAGAAUUUCUUAUUUUUCUAAACUCUGGAAAUUAUACAAUUAGCUGUAUAAAUUAUAAAAUUGCUGUGCAAGGAGUACUUCUAUGAUUUCACUUAGCUCAGAUAAAAUUGUGUACAAAGAUUAUAGGUUUCUUGCAUUUGAAAUAUGUUUUUGCAGUAUUUGCGUUGGUCAAUAUGUGGCUUGCAUGUAGAUGAUAAUUGGAAUUUUGUUUGCUUUUUAUUUCUGGGGUGAAGUAGCAAUUUCAAAUAAAAGAUAUACUAUGUUGGUUAUGUUCUUAAAAUUAUUUGUUCAGAUUUGUACCUGCAUGCAAAUUGAAUAAUGAUCAAUUUUACUUAGAUACGUGCAUUUGCACGUACUUGCGUGGAGGUCGCUGGCCGCCUGCCGCAUUUCGGCAUGGUGAAUCUGCCUGGUGUCUGCUCUGUCCUAGCCUUGGUUUCAUAUUUGAUGGCAAUUCCGUUUCGCAAAAAUAUAUUUGAUGGCAACGAAUGUCCGUGAACAUGUUUGGAUGUGUCUUCUGUUAAAUUGGAUGCAGACUGGCGGCCGUUCCAAUU